UGAAUCACGAUUUCAGAGGACAUUGGGCCAUCUCACCUCAAGACUAACAUAAGAAGAAAAACCAUAGUGAAGACAAUUCACAUGAGUUCACCUACAUCUGCUAUGUAAGAUAAGAAAACGGACAUUCUAGAAGAGCUUUUGAUACAGCCCUCUAAAUUAACUUAACAUAUCCUUUGGAACUCAGUGACUUAAGUACAAAGUUACAGUGGAGCCACUACAACUGGACUCUAACAUCAGAGGCCUUGAUGUGCUACAUGAAGAAUCACAAAUGGCACUAAAGGAAACCAAAAUGAGAAGAGGCAGCUAGACUAGUCCAAGUACACAGAGCACUAGGGGACCACCUUCAGUCCUCCUGAUCUUUAUCUUACCACUAGACCCUGAUGGCUCCAGAGGAGAAAGUGAGGCUGGUGACUCUGUACAGCCCUCCCUUCACUUAAAUCCAAUUCAUCUGCAUGUCAUGACAUGACCUUCCUGGUGUCCUGGUCCUCUUCUGAGAACAAAGGACAAACAAUAAAUAACCGAAGCCUAGCACUAAGCACAGUGCCUAGCA